AAUACAAAAAAUUAGCUGGGCAUGGUGGUGUGUGCCUAUAAUGCCAGCUCUCAAAUUUACAUUUUUGUUUUCCUUUGAAAGUCUACCAUGAACAGGACUUCUCAAUUUCUGUGUCCCAGAUCAGUGCUUCUGGAAGCAGAGGACAGGAACCAUGAAACCUUCACCAGAAUGCGCAGGCAAGCCAGCUUCCGGGCUCUAGGCACUCCUUGUUCCCAGAGCCACUGGACUAACCCAAGCCACCUAGAUACUUCUUCCUUGACUGUGGUUCUUUUUUCUUUUCCCACAUUUACAUAGAGUGAUUCUUUUUAAGCUUACACAAUAGGCUGAAUUAAUUAUUUAAAUCACUAUUAAAGAUAGUCAAAAAGAUUCUGGAUGUGCAAAUCAAAUGCAGUUUAUUUUUUUCAAUCUCUUAGAAUCUCUAAAAAUCAAAUUUAUAAUUAUGUCUCUUAGUAGCUUAGUAGAGCAAAAAGGAAUGUUAGGAAAUACAACAUAAAUACAAAGUCUUGGUGACUUCUAAAACGCCAUCUUUAUUCCUGCACCUAGAUGAUGACAGAUUACAAACGCAUAUUUCUACUCUUUAAUUACUAGACCAGUUCCAAUACUACACAAUAGGCAGUCUCCCUAAAAGACAAUAAAAGUUUCAAAGCAAAAAGAGGAUUUUAAAGAAUUCAACUAAAAAAUCCCAUGUUCUUCAAUGGUUAGUGUGUAAAAGAAUUCCCAUAAGAAAAGUAGUACAUUUCUUUCUAUCUCUGAUAAAUGAAGCCCCUUCUGUUUCAGGUUAUAAUGAGCUAUUUUACUCCAAAAGAACAAUUCUCUAUUAUGGAACACUUCUAAGGUGAUAUGGUUCCUGAAACAACAGUGUGUAUAGCAACAGCACUUUCAUGGACUUAACACAAAAAUGUAAACUUUGAAAAACAGGAGGUCACUAUUCAUACUGAGAAAUAGCAGACAAAUGACUGCAGCAUUCCUUAAAAGACAAUCCCCUUCAACCCUGCUAGUGAGUUUAAACAUGAUUACAUUUAUAAAAUUUGAUUUAGUUACAAAAUGUCAAGAGCAUGUCCAGUAUGUUAAAUAAGCCAUAGUUAGUUUAAAUUUUUUUUUUUUUUUUUUUGAGAUGGAGUCUCGCUCUGUCGCCCAGGCUGCAGUGCAGUGGUGUGAUCUCUGCUCACCACAAGCUCUGCCUCCCAGGUUCGCACCAUUCUCCUGCCUCAGCCUCCCGAGUAGCUGGGACCACAGGCGCCCGCCACCACGCCUGGCUAAUUUUUUGUAUUUUUAGUAGAGACGGGGUUUCAUCGUGUUAGCCAGGAUGGUCUCCAUCUCCUGAGCUCGUGAUCCGCCCACCUCGGCCUCCCAAAGUGCUGGGAUUACAGGCGUGAGCCACCGCGCCCGGCCAGUUAGUUUAAAUUUUAAAGCAAACAUCCAUAAAUGUCCAACUAUUAUCUAUGUAACUGAUAUUCUCAAAAUGCUUUUACCACAUAUCAUUACAAUCAUCUUCACAACAGUUCUACAGGUGCGAGCCACAGCAUCUGGCUCAUAGGUGAGAUCUUCAUUGGGUUAAGUGGCUGUUUGGAUUACAAAACAGGGCACUGUGUAUGACAGUGAAAUUUGUUUUACACUCAUACUAACAAAUACGUGGCUCCAGUCCUCAUCAGAGAACCUUCUGUAUGAAAGGCUAACAUUUCACUCCAUAACAACUCAGAAAGUGUAAGUUGUGGAGAACCCCAGGGGUCAACUGAUCUAAUCUCAUGUGAUACAGGAACCCCCUGUAAAUCACUGCACAUCACAGAAUAUGGAUUUUAGAGUUGACAAAGCUGAACUCAAAUCCUCGUUCUGCCUCUUCUUAGCAAAUUACUUCAUGUCUGCAAUGAUGGUUGUAAAGCAUCGCAGGUGCCCUCACUGCUAUGGUCCAUCUGCUUCCCUUUCCAGAUUUUUCACCAUCCUGCCUGUGCUCCUGAAUACACACUCAAGCUAGAAACACAGAGCCCCGAACUUAGGACAGUGAUCUGGCCGGCCACUGCCUAGCAAGACUAUCAUCUCAGGAAACCCAGACCAUGAAGGCGAGUACCUUCUAAGAGCCAGCACUGCAGCUGAUCACCAAAUUGGCUAGCUUUUGUGCCUUUUGCACUUGCUUUAGUGCCAACAGGAUAAAACUGUCAAGGACAAAAUCUAAAUGUUUAUUUACGUGGGGAUGAGUCAGGAAGUAGACUUUAUUUUACUGGGCUCAGGGCCAACAACCUCAUUCAGUGGCCUCCAAAACUAAACACUUUGUUGAGGGAGAAGAGAAAUCGCUCCACAAGAGAUAUAGAAAGGACUGGAAUCUCCGCUUACAGAGCUGUGGACUGCCCAGAACUUACAGCAGGGUCAGCAAAUUUUUUCUGUAAAAGGUAAAAUAGUAACUUUAUGGUCUCUGUGGCAACUACUCAGCUCUGUGAUUGUAGCAUGAAAGCAACUAUAGACAAUACCUAAACAAAUGAGCGUGGCUGUGCUUCAAUCAGAUCUUACAUACAAAAGCAGGCAACAGGCCAGCUUUGGUCCACAGGCUGUAGUCUGGUGACUCCUAGUUUAGAGUACUGUUACUGGCACAUCACAGGCACACAAUAAACAUCAAGUAUAUGAUUCAAUGUACAGUGGCAAGAGAACAAACUGUCAUGCUAAAAUCAUUUCAACCUUAAAAAUAAUUCAGCUUUCCCUAUCUUUUAUUGUUACUGAUUACAGUGAUGGUAUUCAGGUGAACACUCUGCCAUUUAGAAUAUCAUUUAGCCUUAGCCUGUGCAGCUAAUGCAGCUUCUUCACACCACACAGCCAUCUUUGACAUAUUUCAACUUGUUAAUGAUUCAUGUUCGCAGCCCUUUUGGCUGAUGCUAUCACUGCAAAGCAGUGAUAUGUGUGAGUCCAUUCAUUACGGUAACAAGCUUUCCCUCAAGCUUUGUUUCUUGCAAUAUCUAUCAUUUCUAGUGUGAUCUCCUCCACUGAUUUUUAAAAAUCCAGUCAACAGUAGGAUUUUCUUGUUGAACUGUGAAGGCCUGUGCUCGGUAGGGACUUUGUGAAUCAUCCCUGCUUGGGUCCCAGAGCUACUGGAGGGCCCAUCACUGGAGUGGCUGGUGAGACCCUCCAGGGCAUGAGAGUUGCUAUGGGCCUCUGUGUGGCUUCUAGAGGCUUCCCAGGGGCACAAAGACUAUGUGACCCAGGUGGAAGCUCGGGAGGCUCACGCUGGACACAUGCUGCACACUCUGGCUCCCCUGUGGCUGCAGCUGCACCCACCUACCCAGCAUUCUCCCCACGACCUGUCCAGCCCAAGCCCACGGCACUCCCAGGGGAGCCCAGGACACCCUCAACUUUUUAGUGGAUUACUAGAGUAUCAGACCACCCAUUUAUCUCUCAGUUCCUCACUCCCACCCCUGCACCCAGCAAGUCACCAAGUCCCCCAGGUGAGUAAACUGGAGCUAACAGCAGUUGGUACUUACGGCAUAUACUGGAUUUGGCUCACUCACACGUGGUAUUCCUAUCUUCAUCUACUGUAUCUUCCUGGACUACAUAAGCUGCAAAGUUAAAAACUGCAUUUCUCAGAUUCCCUUGAGCUAGGUUCCAGACGUGAUUUAUUAUCAGUCAAUCAAACACAUUCGCAUGAGUUUUGUAUAGGGAACAAUGUUAAGUCGGAAGAAAGGCAGAAUGCAAGACACGGUUCUGGAGCCAGCAGCUUUAUUGGUAGCAUCCUGACUCAAUAGGCAGCUUUCCUGAUAAUAGCAGGAACAUCAGCCUCCUUGGUGGCCCACUCAUUGUGUGGCUCUGGAAAUCAUUCCUGGAUAUUCCACCUAGUCUGUUUCUUUAGCUUUCCCAACAACUCUGUGAGCCAUGUAACAUUCUGUAAUAAAUUUCUUUCUGCUUAAAUUAGUUAAAAGCCUCUUUUGUUUUCUGCAAAUGAACCCUGAGCAAUAUAGUUGACUAAGAUCAAACAACUACAAGUCAUGCGUUGUUUAACGAUGGAGAUACAUUCUGAGACAUACACUGUUAUGUGAUUUUGUCUCACAAACAUCACAUAGAGUAUAUUUACACAAAUCCAAAUGGUAUAGCCUACUACACACCUAGGCUAUAUGGGAUAGUCUGUUGCUCCUAGGCUACAAAUCUGUAUAGCAUGUUACUGUACUAAAGACUGUAGGCAACUGUAACACUGGUUACAAUGGUAAAUAUUGGUAAAUAUGGUAAACAAUGGUAAAUAUCUGUAUAUCUAAACAUAAAAAAGGUACAGUAAAAAUAUAAUCAUGGGACCACCACAACGUUGUUAUUCAGUGCAUGACUGUAUUAGCUCAGACGUUAACCAAAAUGAGUCUGCCUUCAAAGCUCCAUUCACUCAAUCUCUAUACUACACCACUGCAGUUCUGGGAGGCUGUUCUCCCUCAGGUCUCCCAGCUCUUCUAAUGUCUGCUGAAGUUGGAAUUCUCUUCUGCACAUGGACUACGAAACUGACAUGCUCAGUUAUCAUUUCAUACUAGCUAAAGGAUCUUCUCCUUUGUGAAGCAUCCCUCACCACUACUACUGUGAUGGGUCGGGGCCUUUCAUCUGUUUUUCCACAGCAUCUAUGCUUCUCUUCACUGUAUCAUUUAUCAAAUUGAUGAUUUCUGCGUCCUGUAAUAAACAGUGAGUACCUUAAGAACAAAUGUCAUUUCUUAUUUCUCUCUACCCUCAGCAACUGGCUUAUUAGAAUAAACAAAUAGUUAAUGCUGCUAAGUGAAUGAAUGACCUAAUAUAAUGGGAAAACAUAACUUGGAGGAUGGUUCAGUUGGCCGGCUUUAUAACAUGUUAAGAUGCAAUAAUGGACAGGAAAGCAUGAACAAAGUACAAAGCGCUGUUAUCCACCAUCAUAAGUCUUUGUCUAUAUCCAUCUUGUCUACAUGGGCUCUCUAAGGGCAGAAUCCUAGCUAGCUGAUCUGUAUCUAGCACAGAGCUUGUUUCUUAGUGUAUGGAAUGAAAUCAUCCACUAAAAAUUAUUAGUUGAAUGUGGCUGGUGCCAAAUACUCUUCCGGGCAGAUCAAAAGAGAUCUCAACCAAGAUACAAAUGAUAUAAUAUAAUAUUUUUCUUUCUUUCUUUUUUGUUUUGAGAUGGAGUCUCACUCUGUUGCCCAGACUGGAGUGCAGUGGCAUGAUCUUGGCUCACUGCAAGCUCCGCCUCCCGAGUUCAAGCGACUCUUGUGCCUCAAUCUCCCAAGUAGCUGGGAUUACAGGCUACUAUUUUUAGUAGAGACGGGGUUUCACUCAGCGGGGCUGGUCUUGAACUCCUAGCCUCAAGUGAUCCUCCCGCCUCGGUCUCCCAAAGUGCUGGGAUUACAGGCAUGAGCCACUGCACCUGGACGAUAUAAUAUUUUUCUCUUUUAAGAGCAAACAAUAAAGAAUUUAAACUCAUUUGCUUUUAGCAAAAGCAGUACUGUUUGCUCUUAAAAGACAUAAUUUUUUAAUCUUUUAAGAGCAAACAAUACUGCUUUUGCUAAAAGCAAAUGAGUUUAAAUUCUUUUCAUAUCAUUCAGGCCAUUUUGAGGAAGGUCUGGCAGAGCCUUUUGGUUGUUCCCCAAUAUCUUUCUCCCAUUCUUCCUGAGUAUUAGAGUCAUCGCAUGUAAACCAGGCAUUAGUCACCCAGAAUAAAGACUGCAUGUCCUCGCUCCUUGAAGUGAGAGAUGGCCAUGUGACUUAAGUUCUAGUCAAUGGAAUGCAAGUAAAAUUAGAGUGUACAACUUUUGGGAAGUGUCUUUAAACAAACCACAGGGUGGAGAUGAUACCUUUCUCUUCCCGUUUCCUUUUCCCCACAGGAUGGAAUACAGGGGGGACAGUUAGAUUCUGAAUUGUUAAGCAGAGCUGCUUGAUGCAGAAGAUGAAGACACAAGAAAGAAUGAGCCUAGGCCGGGCACAGUGGCUCACGCCUGUAAUUCCAGCACUUCGGGAGGCCGAGGCGGGAGGAUCACUUGAGCUCAGGAGUUUGAGACCGGCCUGGCCACCAUGGUGAAACCUCGACUCUACCAAAAAAAAAAAAAAAAAGCCAAAAUUAGCCGGGUGUGGUGGCAUAUGCCUGUGGUCCCAGCUACUUGGGAGGCUGAAGUGGGAGAAUCACUUGAGCCCAGGAGGCUGCAGUUGCAGUGAGCUGAUAUUAUGCCACUGCACUCCAGCCUGGGUGACAGGGUGAGACCCUGUC
rnacentral:lncRNA from 10 species